rnacentral:rRNA from 1 species
CUCGUAGGCGGUCUGUUGCGUCCGCUGUGAAAUCUCGGGGCUUAACCCCGAGCCUGCAGUGGAUACGGGCAGACUAGAGGUAGGUAGGGGAGAAUGGAAUUCCCGGUGUAGCGGUGAAAUGCGCAGAUAUCGGGAGGAACACCGGUGGCGAAGGCGGUUCUCUGGGCCUUACCUGACGCUGAGGAGCGAAAGCGUGGGGAGCGAACA